rnacentral:sRNA from 1 species
CAGAUCCAUGUGGUUUCCCAGUUUAAGAUUCUGGUCAGCUUGUUAGAAAAUAACAUUUAUGUCCAUGACCUAUUGACAUUUCAACAAAUCACUACGGUUUCAAAGGCAAAGGGAGCAUCACUGUUUACUUGUGACCUCCAGCACACAGAGACCGGUGAGGAGGUGUUACGGAUGUGUGUGGCAGUAAAAAAGAAGCUGCAGCUCUAUUUCUGGAAGGACAGGGAAUUUCAUGAAUUGCAGGGGGACUUUAGUGUGCCAGAUGUGCCCAAGUCCAUGGCGUGGUGUGAAAAUUCUAUCUGUGUGGGUUUCAAGAGAGACUACUACCUAAUAAGGGUGGAUGGAAAGGGGUCCAUCAAAGAGCUCUUUCCAACAGGAAAACAGCUGGAGCCCUUAGUUGCACCUCUGGCAGAUGGAAAAGUGGCUGUGGGCCAGGAUGAUCUCACCGUGGUACUCAAUGAGGAAGGGAUCUGCACACAGAAAUGUGCCCUGAACUGGACGGACAUACCAGUGGCCAUGGGUGAGACCAACAGUAGCUGCUGUUUCCCACUUUGGGUUGGGGUUGUGUGCCAUUCCUGCAGAACGGAGUCCCAUUCGUAGCUUUAGCAGACUGGUUUACAUUGUGUCAUUCACUUUCAGUUCCCCUUCUUAUAAAUAGAUGACAUUUUAGGGUCAUUAAAAAUGGGAUAGUCUAGUUCUUGGAAGAAGCUGAGUUUUACUCCAGAGGGGGAAAACAUAUAAACAGAAAUGUUUAUUUUAGGAAGUGAUUAUCUACUGCUAUUUUUUACUUCUUAGUUUUCUUCUUCCUCCUUUUUUUAAGAGUUUUGAUUGUGUCCUCUGCCAAA